AGAAAUUAAAGUGAAUUAACUAGACCUAGAGGCAGCCCCACGGAUUUUGAAAAAAGCCCCACACCGAAUGAACAUUCACAGGGAUUGAGUGCUGAACAGUUUGUGUAAAAUUGUAGCAUUCGGUGGUACCUGUUAUUUAUGGAAGAUUCUGAGACUGGUAGGCAAGGUUUAAAACUAUAAACAGAAAUGGACUUGCGCACUGGAGUCCACCUCAGCCUGGGGAGAGGGACCAAUGGUCGACGAGGUCAAAUUUGUUCGCUUUUUUCGCUUUUUAGGGCCACACUUGCAGCAUAUGGAAGUUCCCCGGCUAGGGGUCAAACCGGAGCUGAAACUGGGGCCUUACACCACAGCUCACAGCAACGCCGGAUCCUUAACCCACUGACCAAGGCCAGGGAUCGAACCUGCGUCCUCAUGGAUACUAGUCAGAUUCGUUUCUGCUAAACCACGACGGGAGGUUGGUUUUUUUUUUUUUUUUUUUUUUUUUUUGUCUUUUUAGGGCCGUACCCCCGGCACGUGGAGGUACAGAGGCACAAAGGCAAGCCACUGGAGUCUGGCAGACACUGUGAACAGGAGUACCGGGCCCAGACAGCUCCCUGCCAUCAAGCGGGCGGAGGAGGAAUCUCCGACCCCUCUGGGGGCCAGCGGGGAGGACCGGCCCUGCCUGGGAGAUGCCAGCGCGGUGCUGGGAAACCCGAGCUUGGACAUGACCCAGGAAGCUGGGACAGCAGAAUCCAGGCAGGAAGAUCCGAGCACGCUCCAGAUGCCCUGGGUGGAGCAGGCAGGGGGACAGCCUGGAACACAUGCUCCUGAACGGUGGACAGGGCUGCCCGAGGGGCAGAGAAGCUGGCCAGGUGUCCCCUUCCCAAUGCCACGCUGCCAGCCGGCCACAGGCCCAGGCAGCUGCAGCCCUGCUCGUCUGGACGGACAACUGCCAACAGGAGGGGGGAUGCAGGGCGCCGCCAUUGAGGGCGGCAGGGACGGCGCCCAGAGGCGUGGGCAGGAGGAAGGUCAGCCAGGUGGAGAGGUGGGGACAGUGGGACUCAGUGGCUGUCGGCCACUGGCCUGCCAGCCACAUCCCAGGCAGGCUCCGGAACCGACAGGACAAGCUGCCCGUGGCUCAGGGCUCACUCAGCCCCGCCUCCAGCCCAGGCACAGUCUCCAGAAGAUGGAGGGCGUGUCCUUACUCGGCCAGACAGGUCAACAUUCAGACAGAAGAGACUGGCCCCCGGUGUGCACAGGCGCCAGGGCAGAGGUCAGGCCCCAGGAGGACGAGAGCAGCACGGGGACCACAACGGUUCCCACACCCGCACAGAGCUUCUCACCACGUCGGGAACGUUUCAGUGUAAACUGCCUCCCCCGCCACAUCACCCCAUUUUCCAGAGACGCGCCGCGGCCAGCCCCCUCCUGGAGGGUGGCGGUGUGGCCCCGUCUUCCUCAGGAACCCGCAGGGUGGGUCUGUGUGCAGGACAGGGGCCCUCUGAGCACAGCUGUCAGACUCCAUCUGGUGCAUAAACUGGUUUUCAUGUUUAAAGAGAGGGAGGGUUUCCAGCCACCUGAGUGUCACAGGGCCGUGCCACCCACCUCUGGGUCAGGAGAGCAACGGGGCCCAGGGAGGGAUGGGCAGCGCUUGCCCAGUCGCCGCCUGGGUGGUCCUGCCCCCACCCUGGACUCGCAGGGGGCAGGCACCGGCUCCGGGCGCACAGUGGGGUCGGUGCCGCCUUCCGCGCAAGGAGCAAGACACCAGACACUGAGGCCCGGCUCCCACCGCGACUCGUCAAGAAACCAGAGGCCAAUUUGGAGCCGAUUUUUAUUGUACUUGUUGCUUCGCCACUGGAUAGCAGCAGUCACGCCUGCUGCGUGA
rnacentral:lncRNA from 1 species